rnacentral:misc_RNA from 1 species
ACAAACUUGGUCAUUUAGAGGAAGUAAAAGUCGUAACAAGGUUUCCGUAGGUGAACCUGCGGAAGGAUCAUUAACUAUAUUGGUGGGGUGGAUACCCCAUUUAACCUUGUGCAUUGCUUCAGCACUUGGACGUUAGUCUUUAGAGCUGGAGCACAGACGCAUGUCUGGAUCUAUUAUUUAAACCGAGUCUUAGAAUCAAUAUUAAUUGAAACAACUUUUAACAAUGGAUCUCUAGGCUCUUGCAUCGAUGAAGAACGCAGC